UGGGGAAUUUUGGACAAUGGGGGCAACCCUGAUCCAGCAAUGCCGCGUGUGUGAAGAAGGCCUUCGGGUUGUAAAGCACUUUUGUCCGGAAAGAAAAGGCUCUGGCUAAUACCUAGGGUCAAUGACGGUACCGGAAGAAUCAGCACCGGCUAACUACGUGCCAGCAGCCGCGGUAAUACGUAGGGUGCAAGCGUUAAUCGGAAUGACUGGGCGUAAAGCGUGCGCAGGCGGUUUGGUAAGAGCGGCGUGAAAUCCCCGAGCUUAACUUGGGAAUGGCGCUGUUGACUGCCAGGCUAGAGUCGGUCAGAGGGGGGUAGAAUUCCACGUGUAGCAGUGAAAUGCGUAGAGAUGUGGAGGAAUACCGAUGGCGAAGGCAGCCCCCUGGGACUUUAACUGACGCUCAAGCACGAAAGCGUGGGGAGCAAACAG
rnacentral:rRNA from 1 species